rnacentral:rRNA from 1 species
CAGUCGAGGGGCAGCAUGGUCUUAGCUUGCUAAGACUGAUGGCGACCGGUGCACGGGUGCGUAACGCGUAUGCAACUUGCCCUACAGAGGGGGAUAACCCGUUGAAAGACGGACUAACACCGCAUAUGCUCAGGGGUCUGCAUGGGCCUUUGAGGAAAUAUUUAUAGCUGUAAGAUAGGCAUGCGUCCCAUUAGCUUGUUGGUGAGGUAACGGCUCACCAAGGCAACGAUGGGUAGGGGAACUGAGAGGUUUAUCCCCCACACUGGUACUGAGACACGGACCAGACUCCUACGGGAGGCAGCAGUGAGGAAUAUUGGUCAAUGGGCGAGAGCCUGAACCAGCCAAGUCGCGUGAAGGAUGAAGGCCCUAUGGGUCGUAAACUUCUUUUAUACGGGAAUAACGAGCCUUACGGGUAGGGCGCUGAAUGUACCGUAGGAAUAAGCAUCGGCUAACUCCGUGCCAGCAGCCGCGGUAAUACGGAGGAUGCGAGCGUUAUCCGGAUUUAUUGGGUUUAAAGGGUGCGUAGGUUGCUUGGUAAGUCAGCGGUGAAAACUGAACGCUCAACGUUCAGCGUGCCGUUGAAACUGUCAGGCUUGAGUGCAGUGGCGGCAGGCGGAAUUCGUGGUGUAGCGGUGAAAUGCAUAGAUAUCACGAGGAACUCCGAUUGCGAAGGCAGCUUGCCAUACUGUAACUGACACUGAAGCACGAAGGCGUGGGUAUCAAACAGGAUUA